rnacentral:rRNA from 1 species
AUUGAACGCUGGCGGCAGGCCUAACACAUGCAAGUCGAACGAGUGGCGGACGGGUGAGUAAUGUCUGGGAAACUGCCUGAUGGAGGGGGAUAACUACUGGAAAGGGUAGCUCAUACCGCAUACCAUCGGUUGUCCCCAGAUGGGAUUGGCUAGUAGGUGGGGUAAAGGCUCACCUAGGCGACGAUCCCUAGCGGGUCUGAGAGGAUGACCAGCCACACUGGAACUGAGACACGGUCCAGACUCCUACGGGAGGCAGCAGUGGGGAAUAUUGCACAAUGGGCGCAAGCCUGAUGCAGCCAUGCCGCGUGUAUGAAGAAGGUCUUCGGAUUGUAAAGCACUUUCAGUUGGGAGGCGUUACCAACAGAAUAAGCACCGGCUAACUUCGUGCCAGCAGCCGCGGUAAUAC